rnacentral:miRNA from 1 species
GACGUCGAAUAUCGACGUCAUAAACACCAAAGUUGAUCGUGUUUAUGACGUCGAAUAUCGACGUCAUAAACACCGGCAAGUUGAAUGUUUAUGACGUCGAAUAUCGACGUCAUAAACACCAAAGUUGAUUGUUUAUGACGUCGAGCUGAUCGUGUUUAUGACGUCGUAUAUCGACGUCAUAAACACCAAAGUUGAUCGUGUUUAUGACGUCGAAUAUCGACGUCAUAAACACCAAAGUUGAUGGUGUUUAUCACGUCGCAUAUCGACGUC